UUGUUGAGACAUUUCUUUAAUAGCACUAUAAAAGCAGCCCCUUCAGUGCAGUUAAUACUAAGAAGUGCUGAGGCACCCAACACUGAAAGCAGGAGAGGAAGCAAAGCCCUUCUGCUGGUCCCAAAGCAGUCAGAGAAAGCAGCUGAACUUCAGGUGGAGAUCUGUUCAAUAAUGAAGGAACCUAUACCAUCUAGUGAAGAGACCUUUCAGAUGUUGCAGUGGCUCAGCCAUAACCAGGUACAGGUUCCUGGGCAAAGAAGCUUGUAAACUCUUGAUUUCACUGAAAUGAAAAAGGAAAGAAAUAAAGAACCUCCCCAUAAAAGCA
rnacentral:lncRNA from 1 species